rnacentral:rRNA from 1 species
UACGGAGGGUGCGAGCGUUGUCCGGAAUCACUGGGCGUAAAGGGCGCGUAGGUGGCCUGUGGAAGUCUGCGGUGAAAGCCCGGCGCUCAACGCCGGGUCGGCCGUGGAUACUCUCGGGCUUGAGCUUACUAGAGGCAGAUGGAAUUCCGGGUGUAGCGGUGGAAUGCGUAGAGAUCCGGAAGAACACCGGUGGCGAAGGCGGUCUGCUGGGGUAAUGCUGACACUGAUGCGCGGACAGCGUGGGGAGCAAACAGG